AUUGAACGCUGGCGGCAGGCCUAACACAUGCAAGUCGAGCGGAUGAAGGGAGCUUGCUCCUUGAUUCAGCGGCGGACGGGUGAGUAAUGCCUAGGAAUCUUCCUGUUAGUGGGGGAUAACGUCCGGAAACGUGCGCUAAUACCGCAUACGUCCUGAGGGAGAAAGUGGGGGAUCUUCGGACCUCACGCUAUCAGAUGAGCCUAGGUCGGAUUAGCUAGUUGGUGGGGUAAAGGCCUACCAAGGCGACGAUCCGUAACUGGUCUGAGAGGAUGAUCAGGCACACUGGAACUGAGACACGGUCCAGACUCCUAGGGGAGGUAGCAGUGGGGAAUAUUGGAAAAUGGGCGAAAGCCUGAACCAGCCAUGCCGCGUGUGUGAAGAAGGUCUUCGGAUUGUAAAGCACUUUAAGUGGGGAGGAAGGGCAGUAAGUUAAUACCUUGCUGUUGUGACGGUACCAACAGAAUAAGCACCGGCUAACUUCGUG
rnacentral:rRNA from 1 species